rnacentral:rRNA from 1 species
AACGAACGCUGGCGGCAGGCUUAACACAUGCAAGUCGAGCGCUCCGCAAGGGGAGCGGCAGACGGGUGAGUAACGCGUGGGAAUCUACCCAUCUCUACGGAAUAACGCAUGGAAACGUGUGCUAAUACCGUAUACGUCCUUCGGGAGAAAGAUUUAUCGGAGAUGGAUGAGCCCGCGUUGGAUUAGCUAGUUGGUGGGGUAAAGGCCUACCAAGGCGACGAUCCAUAGCUGGUCUGAGAGGAUGAUCAGCCACACUGGGACUGAGGCACGGCCCAGUCUCCUACGGGAGGCAGCGGUGGGGAGUAUUGGACAAUGGGCGCAAGCCUGAUCCAGACAUGCCGCGUGAGUGAUGAAGGCCCUAGGGUUGUAAAGCUCUUUCACCGGUGAAGAUAAUGACGGUAACCGGAGAAGAAGCCCCGGCUAACUUCGUGCCAGCAGCCGCCGUAACAC